ensembl:lncRNA
UCCAUAGAAUGAAAACACGGAAGGAUUUCAAAGCUGGCAGAACACUAAAGGCAAAACACUAAGUAGUUUCCAAAUCAUAAUCACUAACAACUGUAUAUGACUUCUGGAAGAGUUUAGAUAUGUUUGCGGGCCUGAGAGAAUACACACUCUGUCUGAAGAAUGGAAAGUGCAGAUAGGAUUCUGCUCUAGAGGAUGAAUUCUGGAAUGAACAGUGCUGCAAAUGAAAAGUAAGGCAGCGUGAAUAGCUGGUGUCCAUCUGUCACCAGGCGUGCCUACAAGAGAAAGUUUCAUGCCUAACCCAUUACUGCUUGUUAUUCAGAACACUAAAUUAAUACAUAAAAGGAAGCAGUUCUACUCCUUGUGCCUGAUAGCUAGGCAGCAAUUGUGUCCUAAUAGUAGCAGGGUUUUUUUUUAUUUUAUUUUCUAUGUGCAUUUAUGUCCUAAUGAAUUUUAGAUUGUGCUGACAUAUGCUUUUAACUGAAAGCAGAAGGUGUUUAGAACAGAGGGCAUGGAUAGUGGUUUGUCAUGUUUUUGUUUAGUGGAGCAGUUUCUCCAUACAGAGGAGCAGUUACUGUUAUAUGAAGAUCCAUAGGAAAAGGGAAAACUCUGUAGGAAAAUAGCUGAUCUCAGAGAAUAACAGUGCUUUCUUAUGGUUGUAUUUUGCAAGAAGCAACACCAAACCCAAGUCUGGCAGUUUUUAACUUGGCAGACUGGAAGCCGGAGUGACCAGGCAGCACUCAAAGCUCACAGGGGGCAACCUAAUACCCCUGGCAGUGCUCUCGAGGAGAAUCGGUUCAACACAAGUAUCACAUAUUCAAGUUUUCCUUCAUGUUGGUCUUCAUUUUCAGGAAAAGCAAAAUCAUUCUGUAUUGCUUUAUUUCACAAUGAUUGGGUAGUAGAGACUUCCCCUAAUAUAGGGUUGUCUUUAAUGUAACCAAAGCACUCUCACUUAAUUAUCCACUGCUAUUUUUUUUUUUUAACAUUAUUUGAUUUGUGUUCCAAUUUCCAGGAUGUAGGGUAGAACAGUCCCAUUAAGAGCAAAGGCUUACCAUAUUUUUAACCUUGUAGCCCUCCAGUGGGGCUUCACCUGUACGCUACCAGUGAGGACUCCUUUCAGAUGUCUGUCUUAAAUCUUCUGCAGCAAAUCCAAAUACUGUAUUAGUGAAAGGAUAUGUGCUUAUUUAGUGUCCAUGCAAAGACACCCCUCGGUGUGGGUGUGUUGCGCAGUAAAAAUGAACAACAAGGACCAUCAGAGAAUAGACUUUCUUUUUGAGCCCAAGUGAUUUGUUAAACCAAUGAAGCAUGUUUAAGAAAGUCUUCCAUACCAAAAGCACUUUCAAAGCAUGGUGCUGUUUAACCUCUAGAUGUAUUGAUGUCAAUUGUGAGACUGAAACUUUGGGCUUCAAAGGAGAUCAGACUCCUUGUACUUGUGCCUUUGGGCUUCCCAGUGAGUCUCUGUGGUCAAAUUAGGUGUGAGUGAAACCCCAUCCCUUUGUUUUUGAAAGAUCUAUUAGGAAGCUAGAUGUAAUGCAUUUUCAUCAUUUUCUGAAAGAUCUUUUCCCUUUAUUGAACAUCUAUUUUGUUUUAAUUCUUUAGGCUUUUUGCUUUUUUUUCCCUUAGAAAAAUAGGAAAGUAAAAAAUGGGAAAAGAAAAAAAAAAUUCCAGAAGGGUUCUGAGUAGAAGAGCUUUUGUACAAAACACCUCACUCCUAACUCAGUGCUUCAAUCCUCUGAUGCAAUCAGUGUCCAGAGAUGUAGGGUGCCAGUGUCAAGCUGUUUCUUUCUGAAGCAAGUCACCAGUGUUGCUGCUUUUUAUUUUGAGCCAUGCCUGUCAUAUGUGACAAUUGCGUUUGGUUUUUGUUAUGAUUUUUAGUACUGCUCAUUUCAUGCAUGGAACAUUGGCCAUGUCUGAUGUAACAUCAUGCACUAUUCUAUUUGACUUGUUCUUUAUUUUUGUUGUUCUGACUGACAUACAGGAGCAUACUUGGGAUCUUGAUUUUGUGUGUUAAAUUCUGGAGUUGUAAAUUUGAAUGUGAUAUACCUCACAGAACUACUAGUAAAUAUUUCAACAAAAUAGUAAGCUAAUAUUACGGAUGGGCAGUGAAUUAUCUCCCUUGCUAUGUGGUGGCUGCAAAUGCAGACUUAGGACCCAAUCAGUGGUAUUUGCUGUUGUUGCUGACUCUAUUAUCCAUAGUUGCUGCUUAAAUGGAUGAGCUGUUUCUGAAAGGAAAUCAGUAGCCAUGUCAUCCAUCACAACACAAUUGGCAAAUGCAACACGUUUCUUCACCUUUGAUUUACGAGGGGGACCAGAACUUUCCUUUGCUGGGCACACAGCAGUAGUGUGCUACUGCUCAACUCAAGUUUCAGGCUGCUCUGAAGGGGCACAUUCAAGUCUCUUCUCUCCUUUUUUGUUUUUGACAAGUUCAGCAGGAUAAAAUUAGAGCUGAAGGCAGUGAGAUUCCUUCUUAUACUGUCCUCCACACUCAAUAGAACAUAAAUGGUAGCAAAACUGAGGGUAACUGGAUUUGUUGGAGGGAGAAGGUAUUUGAAUAUCACUAUUAAAAGGUGACGAGAAAUUGUAUCCUCUAUUUUUAGACAGUAAUUUCUUUGUAAAUAGCAUACUUGUAUCUACAAGUAGAUAAAAAUACAGUAAAAGAUUUGAAAUACGCAGGAUAAAAAAAAUGUAAUAUUUCAAGAAUCAAGUUGCUAACAAGGCUCUGUACCAUAAAUCUAUCAAGAACUUCCCAUCUAAAUAGCAUCCUUUGCUCUGCCACAGGCUUUGAUGAAGACUUCAAAUCAAAUGGCAUCAGAAUUUUUAACACUAAGUAAGGUCCUAACUUUUCAUGCAAAUAUGUGAUAGCAGCAUUAUGUACCUAGGUGUGUAUUGGCUUACAAUUCCCAAAGCAUGUUUUUUCAGAGCCCUGUACUUGAGGAUAUGCCUUAGGAAGUGCAGUUUCGCUUAGGGGAAAUGGCUGCCAUCUGCACUCCUCCCAGCGUCCUACGCCGAGUUCGUGCUGUUGUGCAUUUAGCAGUGACCUGCGUGACUGAUGUUUAGAGAUGCUGUCAGCACAUCUGCUGAUUUGUUGUUGAAUUCUUCUUUGACUUGUCAUUAGCAAGCCUGAGAAUACAUUCUCCGGCCCCAAAUGUUGCAUACAGAGGUUGAGGAACAUUGGAGUGUUUAAAAGCUCAUUUCCUCAUGCCUCUCCUAAAUUUUUAAAUAUCUUCUUAGAGGCUGGAAAACAGUUUCUUCCAUAACAGUUUUUUUCCCCUCCUCCAUCAUUUAUAUAACUCUGGAUUUUCCCCCGUGUUUCUACGAUAGUGUUUAUUUCCUUUUUGCACAUUAUGCAAACAAACCUCAAAUGAUAUUGGCAGGGUUUUCUGUAACUUUACAAGUUGUCCCAGUGUGCACAACAAUGCUUUUUUUGUUUCCCCCCCACAAAAAUGUCUGUCAACUCCUCUCACUCUUCCAACAAAAGAAAGUCUACAGAAAAUAUUUGUGGACUGAGCUUCACCAGGAAGUUCAGCAGCUGAGUUGGUCAGUGAGCAGGAUGCUGCAAGGGAUCCUUCACCAGUCUCACCCUCUCUUUGUGUCUGGGUGAUGCCAUGGUGAGCCAGAGUAAUCAGCAUCCUCAUCUUUUACUGGGUUCCCUAACAACGUCUCUAGGGAGGAUUUUGAAUAGUCCCAAAUCUGCACUUCGACUGGUGUUACCGGAAAGCAGGCUGCUGAGGAAGUAGAAGCACAGGUUCCAUGAGCACUCUACCAGCCACACAUUUCAAUAACUUUGCAACUCAUUUGGUUUAAUGUGCAAAUUGUAGUGCCCAGAGGGUGAAGUUUAACCAGAGGCUACAUAAAAAUUGAAUGUUUUCAUUUUCCUUUUUUGGGCUGAGAAAAACUCAAAAAACUCGAAGUGGGCAGAGUAAAAUAGACGCCUGUAAAGUCUCAUGCCUUUUAGUAGUAAUACAAAUACAGAUACAAAACAAUCCUCAAACUUCACCAUGACAGGGUUUCCUUAAUGUGAUUUAAAGUGGCUUAGGGUGAACAAUACUGUAAGCUUUGUAGCCUCUCAGAUGGCCAAAAAAUAAGAAAACUCUCAUCUGAAACCCUACCUGAUGAUAAUGGUAGUUUGAACUUCAGUCCAGCUGUGGCACGCAAAGCAGCAGAACUGGUGGAGUCAUGCAAGUCACCCAAAAAUUUGUUGUACUCUAAUGCUGUAACUUUAAAAAUAUAUGCUGUGAACAGGUUCAAUGGUUCAAUGUUUUGUUUUGUUGGGGUUUUUUUUUAGGUCUUUUUAUACUGUCUUUUUACAGCAUAAGUAAUUUUUUUUAGAGAUGGUUUUGUGUUCUAUUUUUACAAAUAUUUUAAUGGACUUUUGUUUAAUAGUAGUGAAAAUAUUGUUUGCCAAUUUGAAAUGUUCAUCUAUAGAAAUUAGUCCUGAGAAUAAAUCAAUAAAUCAUACUGUCAAAACAGUCAUCCUAAUGCAUUAAACCUAACCAGUCAUUUAACAUAGUUCUGUUGUUGAAUGAUACCGAAGUUUUCCAGCUUCCAAAUCUGUUACUCAAAAAAGAUUUUCACAUUUUAAAAUAAUCAUACAGCACUUUAAUGAAGUUGUAGUAUACCAAGUAAAGUAGUGAUUCAACAGUGUGUAUCAACAAGAAAAUUUAUUAGCUUAGCAAUUAAACAAAUGCAUGCUUGAAAAUGGAAGCAUGGGAUCACGAUGGGGAAAUAAUAUUCCAGUGGGUUAGAUGACGUGAGACUAACCUAAGGCACCAACUUUGCAAAUGUUUUAAAACUAGUUUGCUUGGCUGUUGUAAUUCUUGUUGUAUUGCUUGUGUGUCUAAAAACAUGCAUGUAUUUAACAAUUUUACCAUAGUAUUGCCAUGGAAUUUAAUAAAUAUAUUUUCUUACGCU